UUUUUUGACCUUUGACUAUUAAAGUCCUUUGUGUUUCCUGACAACUCUGCGUCUGAGUCCUGCCUCCCACCCGCAACCCUGACAGACUGCACAUAAAGUAGAUCCAACUCAACGUGCUUAUGUACACACCUGUGCAUCAGGAUAAACUUAAUUAUAAUAAAUAUAUAUAAAAAAAUACUUGUACUACUAGCAAUACUGAUUAACAUAUAUUUAAAAAAUGAUCUUUUAUGUAGGACUCGUACUUAUAAUGUAAUAUUUUCAGAUGUUGUGUUGGUACUUUUAAAUAGUUUUUCAGCCUGACUAUACAUUUCCUGUCCUCUUUUCUCUAAACUGGGAUUUUCAUUCGCCGUCUAAUAAAGGAAGUAACUGGUAGGGGCCAGUUCAUAGUUGCAGAAGUGAAACAAGCUAGUAGAGCUUAACGACAACGUUUGCAAUGAGACUUGCCAUUCGCAGUCAAGAGCGACAUUCACAAGGUUGAAAAAGGGACCGAACAUUUAUCGCUCUGUGCCAUGUUGGCCGAAGGUUUCCUCAGAGUGCUGCGUUACAGGAGGGAGGACGGAGCGCUCGUCUCUUCUCCCCAGCUGGCUAGUUUGCAGGCACACGCUGCGGAUCAGUUCAGCGUCCUUCUCUCUGACUCCACAGACCUACAGACAGAUUCAGCUAACAGAGGUCCGAGCAAGGUGGAACUAGGCCGCGCCCAAUGCAGGGGACUAAACGUGGUGCCUGACGGUCCUGUAGGCCUCCUAAUCCCUGGCUGUCCCCCGGUCCUCCUCCCGGACCCGGACUUCGUGGUUUGCUUGGACAACUGCAGCCUCCUGGAACAGUAUCCCGACGUGCAGGUAGCCACCAUUCCCCAGCACGCCCUUUACUCCUCUGCCCCUGAGUCCUGCCGUGUGCCAGAAGGGGCAACCCAACCCGUCUCCUCCAUACCAGACCAGGGUUAUCUGGCCAUGGGGCCCAGUGUGAACAUCAGCUUUGAUCUGUCCGAGGCAGGUUUGGAGCCCAUGUCUAACUCGGUGUUGAAUGGGCUGCUGGAGAAGCAGCUGGAGGAGGUGUACAUGCAGCACCUGACAGACAACUUGGCUCGAUGUGACUCCCACCUGGGGAACAGCCUCCUGCGGGGCCUGGUGCCUCCGCCCCCGCCCGGCGGCACGCAGCCUCGGGGGCCAGACUCACUGGAGGUCAGUCUGGAACAGGGAUCAGGAGGGGAGAGCCGCAAGAAGACUAGUUAUCAGGGCAUCCAGACCUCGGUUUCUUGCUCGUCCAACUUCAGCUCUCCUGUCCUGAGGAUUUCAGAGGCUGACAAUGUUUAUCUGCAAUGA
ensembl:lncRNA